rnacentral:rRNA from 1 species
UACGUAGGGGGCAAGCGUUGUCCGGAAUCAUUGGGCGUAAAGAGCGUGUAGGCGGCUCGGUAAGUCCGCUGUAAAAGUCAAAGGCUCAACCUUUGAAUGUCAGUGGAUACUGCCGGGCUAGAGUCCGGAAGAGGCGAGUGGAACUCCUGGUGUAGCGGUGGAAUGCGCAGAUAUCAGGAAGAACACCAACGGCGAAGGCAGCUCGCUGGGACGGUACUGACGCUGAGACGCGAAAGCGUGGGGAGCAAACAGG